ensembl:lincRNA
GGUGGGUCCUGUACAGGAAAGCUCAGUUUGGUGCCCUCAGCUGACACCGUCCCGGGGCCUGUCCCUGGGGAGCUUGGCAGCUGAGCAGGCCCCUCUCAGAACGUGGGACCUCUCCUAUGGAUGGAAGGUGACUGGACCUUGCACACCCAGCUGAGGUAAGAGGGAGGGUCCUGGGGGCAGGAUCUGGAGGAGGCUGGGUGGAGCAUUCCUGGUGCUGGCUUGCCUCCAUCCCUGGGUCUUAAAUGAUCUGGCCCAGAUUCUGUCCUGUUGCAGGGGGGAGGCCUGGGGCUUGGAAGCUGUUUUCUAGGUCUCCACGGGGGCUGCCAUGGGGGCCUCUGUCAACCUCUGGGGCUUCUCAGGAGCCGCUGGUCCCACUGAGCCUAACUUUUCUCAUCUGUAGGAUGGAUGUCACCUGUGUUCACCUCACAGCUGCUGUGCGGGGUGAGGGGGCGGGGGAGAGACACUGGUCGCAUUGAUGCAGCCCUUGCAGUUUGACUGGUCCUUCCAGACCAGUCUGACAGCUUCCUGGUUCCCCAGAAACUGGCCAAGCUGCAUUCCAGGACCUGGCGCUAGGGCGGAGGUCUCCGAGGGGGCAGUAGGGCUGCCCUGUCCUGGGAAGAUGGGCCGCCCAGGGCCCCCAGGGGAGAAGGUCUCUGGCAUCCAGCUGUCUGGUUUCCCCAACGUCCCUGGAGAUGUCCCUGGUGAUGUCAUCCCCGGCCCUGAAGACUCGGACCUGGUGCCCUCCGUGACCCUGGCUGCAGCCCUUGCCCUGCUGUUCCUCCUGCUCUCAGGCUGGCUGGUGUGGGACGAGCUGCUGCUAGUGUGGGCUCCAGGGGGCCACACCGCUCAAGCUGGUGAGCAGCACCUCUCCAGUGCUCCAUGUCCCCUCCUCUCCCCUCCGUGGCAGCCCCGGGAGGCAGAUGCUGCCGUGAAACCACGGUGCCCUUGAGAAACCUGGCACGAGGGGCUUCCUGUCUGCCCACAGCCCUGAAGGUCAUGGGUCCCCUGAUCCUCCCCCGGAAGCCGGUUGGCCUGAAAUGCAGACCCGAUGACCUGGAACCGGCCCCUGGCCUCUGAGAAACUGAGCUGCCGCUGACUUGGCCUUUCCUCCAUCGAGGGCUGAAAUCCACAACUGUCUGGGGGUGGAGCAGCGGCCAGGCAUCCAGGAAGGACUCUUGGGGCCUGACUGAUGGACUGAGUGUGCAGCCCUUCCAGGAGUUCCUGUCUACCCUGUCUCAGCGUGGGCUGACCUGGUGGUCUGGGAUGUGACAGGCUUGAAAAAUGACGCAGUGAUCCUGCCUGGAAGGUGUUCAGGAGAGACUGCAUGCUGAGAAGGGCUUACAGAAGACUGUAUGUGCUAUGUGAUCCCAAUUAUGCACAGAACAGGGCAUAGCAGCCAAGACCAUAGGCACUGGAGCCUGCUGCCAGGGUUCAAGUCCAGCUCUGGCAUCUUCCAGAUGACCUUGACCUUGGACAUGCUGCCAAACAGACCUGUAUUUCAGUGCUCUCAGCUGUAAAAUGGGAUGAUGACCACACCUGUCACUCAGAGGUAUUGCACGAUUAAAUGAGUCAAUUUGUGGAACAAACUUAGAACAGCGGCCCUACGUAAGUGACUACAGAGACAAACGUCUACAGUUUUGAUGAUUUUAAUGGUCCUUAUUUUGUUUAUUGCAUGUUUGAAUAUUUCUACAAUAUAUACACUUGACUGGGGUAAUUCUCAAAAAGGUAGAGGUUGCUUUGAACAAACUUGGAAUCGUCAUUGACCCAUGUGUUGCUUGUGAGGUAAAAAAAAAAAAAGGUAAAAAUAAAAAAUUAAUAAGAAACAUCUGAAAGCUCUCAACCCACCACACACUGGCGGGGCAGCAGCUGACUGCAGUGCUGAGGUGCUGGAGGAGAGAGCAGGUCAGGGGGCUGGUCCUGGCUCCCUGGGGCUCUGUCAGGUGGGGGAGACACACCUGUAGAGGUGGGAUGUUCCCCAAAGUGAGUGCCUAGUGGAGAGAGGGCUUGGGGGAGGGACUGGUGAGGGGCUGUGGAGGAGGUGGACCUUGAGCCAGGUCUUGGAGGACGGUAAGAUUUCAGCAGGCAGGGAGCAGAGGCACACAUAAAGGCGUUCAGGUGCAGGGAACAGCGCAUUCGUGUGUGUAUGUGUGUGUGUGUGCGUGCAUGUGUGUGCAUAUGUGUGUGCAUUCAUGCCUGUGUGCGUGCAUCCAUUUGCACGUGUACAUGCAUGCACCCACACAUGUGUGCAUCUGUGUGCAUUCAUGCAUGCACAUGCAUUCACGUGUGUGCGUGCAUUAAUGUGUGUGCAUGCAUUUGUAUGUGUGUGCUUGCAUUAGUGUGUGCGUG